rnacentral:rRNA from 1 species
GACGUAGGGCGCGAGCGUUGUCCGGAUUUAUUGGGCGUAAAGAGCUCGUAGGCGGCUUGUUGCGUCAGCUGUGAAAACCCGGAGCUCAACUCCGGGCCUGCAGUCGAUACGGGCAGACUGGAGUUCGGCAGGGGAGACUGGAAUUCCUGGUGUAGCGGUGAAAUGCGCAGAUAUCAGGAGGAACACCGGUGGCGAAGGCGGGUCUCUGGGCCGAUACUGACGCUGAGGAGCGAAAGCGUGGGGAGCGAACAGGA